rnacentral:rRNA from 1 species
CAGUCGCCGCGGUAAGACAGAGGAUGCAAGCGUUAUCCAGAAUGAUUGGGUGUAGAGCGUCUGUAGGUGGCUUUUCAAGCCCGCCGUCAAAUCCUAGGGCUCAACCCUGGACAGGCAGUGGAAACUACCAAGCUGGAGUACGGUAGGGGUAGAGGGAAUUUCCGGUGGAGUGGUAAAAUGCGUUGAGAUCGGAAGGAACACCAAUGGCGAAAGCACUCUGCUGGGCCGACACUGACACUGAGAGACGAAAGCUAGGGGAGCAAAUGGGAUUAGAUACCCCCGUAGUCCCUGUCUCUUAUAC